rnacentral:rRNA from 1 species
AGCGAACGCUGGCGGCAUGCUUAACACAUGCAAGUCGCACGGUCGGGGGUAACCUCGGCAGUGGCGGACGGGUGAGUAACGCGUAGGUAUCUAUCCAGAGGUGGGGGACAACCGCGGGAAACUGCGGCUAAUACCGCAUGAUGUCUGAGGACCAAAGCAGCAAUGCGCCAUUGGAGGAGCCUGCGUUCGAUUAGCUUGUUGGUGGGGUAAAAGCCUACCAAGGCGACGAUCGAUAGCUGGUCUGAGAGGAUGAUCAGCCACAUUGGGACUGAGACACGGCCCAAACUCCUACGGGAGGCAGCAGUGGGGAAUAUUGGGCAAUGGGCGCAAGCCUGAUCCAGCAAUGCCGCGUGUGUGAAGAAGGUCUUCGGAUUGUAAAGCACUUUCGACGGGGACGAUGAUGACGGUACCCGUAGAAGAACGCCC